UAGGAACAAAGAGUUGGGUGGUGGUUUCUAAACGUGUCGUUGUGGUGAUCUUUGUGGUAAUUUGUUGGCAGUUAUAGAAAACGAAUACUCACGUUCUUCUUUCACGCCUCAGGGAAACAGCCUGAGACCCGUUACUCAGUGGCAGCUCCAGGAGAAAGGGCGUCCCAGGGUGGAGUGCCCAUACCGCCCUCUGGUGUGGAUCUCUGAUAAAACAGGCAUUCUCAAGCAGAUCCAAAUGAACAGUCAGUCCCACUACAUCCGGAGUCCCUGAAGUGUGUAGUGAGAAAUGACUGCACACAGUAACACACCAUGAGCAAUGACAGGACAAGAAAGUGGCUGCUUCCAAGGGACAGCUUAUCCAACAUCCCCAUGCUCCAGGACACCGGCCACACAGGCAUCCGACUCAUUCAAUCUCCCUAUUCCUUACACUGCUACUACCUUUGAGAGACUGACUUUUAUGGACCCUGUGAAAGGAUUCUUUUGCCUCCUGGCUCCUGGCUCCUGGCCUGGAUCAACAAGUGAGCACUCCAGGAA